UGUUGUCUUCAGGGCAGGGUGCAAUUCCCGACCGGCGGUAAAGUCCGCGACCCAGGUAAAACUGGCUGAGUUGGUUAAUUUCCAACACCGAUAGUUAAAGUCUAGAUAAAAGAAGACAGGC
rnacentral:ncRNA from 2 species